AUGGCAGACCCAACAAAAGGGCAAUCAAGGGAUACUAGUAUGGAUAAGUUGUAUGAAAUUUUAAGCAAAGUAUUUGAGCAGCAACAGCAACAACUGAAAGUGGUUCCUGAAGCUGUGAAGUAUGCACUUGAGCCUAAUCCAGUGAAGUUGGCUGGACCGGGAAAUUACAUCAGCUGGGCACGUCAUGCCCAGUUAAUUCUGAGUUCUCAUGGCUACAAAGAAUUGCUUAGUGCCGAUGAAGAGAAACUGAAAAGCGGUAUUAUCACCAAACAGAUCAAUGAUAGAGUUUUGGUGUGGUUAUUAGGAAGCAUGGAACCACCGAUACGAGAACAAGUUGAGACUUUGACCACUGUAUUUGAAGUGUGGAAAGCUUUGGAGAAGCACUUUUCAGGAAAAUCAAAUAAGAUGCAGGCUACUCGCAUCAUGUAG
rnacentral:rRNA from 1 species